ACCACCCAGCCUCCACAACUGUGAGAAAUAAAUGUUUGUGGUUUAAGCCACUCAGUCUAUGAUAUUUUGAUAUAGCAGCUUCACUAAGGCAUCACCCAUGUCAAUGCUUUAGCAAUGAAUUCACCACAUGAUUGCUUUGUAGAAUAAUCGGUUAACUACAGGUACCAGUCAGAAAAUUAAGUCAAACACUUCCACGCAGAGCAUAUGCUGAUGGAGACUUACCUGGGCUCCAGGAAAAUGUUAAGAAGAAUAACAACUUAAGUUUCUACUAUGUGCUAACACUGCACUAAAGGCUUUAGAGAGCAUCGACCUUCAAGUCAGGAGACUUCAAAAGCUGCAAUUAAAAUAAUUGUGUGUCUUAAAAUAAAUGGCAUCUUACAAAGAGGAGAUAUGAAGUAAUGAUAAGAAGUCUGGCCAGAAGAAUGGCCCAGCGCUCACAUUCCCCGGCAUGUCGUCCUGCUGAUGAGUUUCUCACUGGGAGAGCACCAGAUAAUGGCAUUGCAGGGACAGGGGUGAAACCUGCAGGAACAUGCCUUCGCUGCGCCUUCUCCGGCUCACGCUCCGUCCAGUGCUGAAAGCCAUCAGGGAUGAAGUGCAGCUGCACACGCACCCCGCGCUCACACCCCGCUCCGGUGGUACUUCCUGAAGAAACUGGAGGAAGGAUGUUACAGAAUGAAGGAGAAAGGCCCCAACAUGAAGAUGUGCUCCUGGAAAGACAGAAAACCUUCCUUUCCUUCUGGUUCCCAAGGAGGGCACGGUGGGCUGAGUGGUAUCUACAAGGACAUGACCACCUCCCAAUCCCUGACUCCUGUGACUGUCACCUUAUUUGGGAAAAAGGUCUUUGCAGACGUGAUUAAGGAUCUUGAGAAGAGGUGAUCACCCUGCAUUAUCCGGGUGAGCGCUACAUGCCUUCAUGUAGCCUUGACGAGUGAGACAGAGGGAAAUUAGACAGAUACCCGGAAAGAAGAAGCUGCCAGAAGCUGCAAGAGACAAGGAAGGAUUCUCCCCUGGGGCCUGUGGAGGGGUGCGGCCCUGCCAACGCCUAGAUUUCAGACUUCUCCAGAACUGGGAGAGACUAGGUUUCUGUUGUUUUAAGCCACUAAGUUUAUGGUAAUUUGUUACAGCCGCCGCUGGAAAGGAAUACAGGGGGUCGUGGGGAGAAGUUGCCCAGUGGCAGAAACUACUCCGAGUGUCCUGACUCCUUAGGUCCAGGAGUGGGUCCACUUGCCAGAACCAGGAAGGCCGUGCUGUGGAUCGACACCCGCUCAUGCAGUUUCAGGCGGUGGGGAGACCACACAGCGCAUGCUCUGCACGGAGGUGCUUGCCUGGAACAGGAGCCAACAGAGAGAGGUGAGAGCAACGCUCCUGCAGAUAAGGACACACGAAUGUAAAACUGUAGACGUGUAUCUAGGAUCUCAUCAAACCCCCAACAACGUGUGAGUUGGAAGUUGAAGAUCAGAGGAAAUUGAAGGUCACACAUGAGAGGAGUUGGUCAGACCUGGGUUCAAAUCCCAGCCCCACCACUUGGUUGCUGUGUGGCUCAUCCUCCCUGACUCCAGUUUCCUUGUCUAUGAAAUAGAAAUUCUAAAACCUACCUUACAAGCUUGUGGGUGUAAAGUUUAAAGCGCUUCACAGAGUACUUGGCUUCCUGAAGGGGUUUGGAAAAUGGCUACUGUAGUUAUUGCCCAAGAUUGCAGGGCUGGUGAGACAGGCCUGUCUGACUUGGGAGCUAUGAUCCUUCUAGAGCCCAAGGCUGAGAAGCUGACUCAUGGUGCAGGGGUCAAGCUCUCUCUGUGAAGGUGCUCGUUUCAGCUGCCACACAGCCCUGGGUUGUGCAGGAAAUUGCCCGCCAUGCACAAGCACGUACUUCUCUGUGCUCUCCUCAGAUCACAAGGGCUAGAAACCUGUAAACUACAUUUCUCAGACUCCUCUGCCCCGGAGGUGGGGAUGGGGGAUGGGGAUGGAUUCCAGUUCAGAUUCUGCCCAUGGGAGGUAUUUGCUUGAGAGCAGGGGGCAGGUAGAGAGAUUCUUUUUCUGGCUGUAGCAAUCUAAUGCCAACCCCUGCACAGACGGUGAUGGGAGCAGUGGGCUCCUCUGGGGUGGGGACUGAUGACAGCUGGCUUAUGAAGCAGCUGAGUAGGCAGCAGGGACACAGAGUCCUGUAGGCUCAGAGGGAAGUGAGCUCCUAUAAGGGCCGGUGGCAUAGACUGCAAGGCCUGAUCUCUAGGGAGCAACUCCUCCACUCCCAUUUUUGUUGCCUUUCCUCACAACAGUUUGGGAGCUUCACUCCCUAUAUUAAAUCCCUCUUUGCUUGAAAUACUUGCAGUGACUUUCGUUUUCCUAACUGCAUCCACCAGCACAUCAGCCCUCUGCAGAGGCACAGGGUGCAUAGCAUAGAGACUUCAGGGGCCCUGGAAGGCCAUCUUCACCAGGAAAUACAAUCUCACAUUUUUCAACUAGAGAUAAGACUUAAAAUGAAAACACACCAAAGAAAACUAUCAUAUUGGCUCAAAUACUUACAGAGGAUUACUGAUUGUAUCAGACCCUAUCCUUACAGAAAGUUUUUUUUUGGUAAAUGAGGAAAAAGAGUGCAAAAGGCACUAGGGUGGGGAGAGGAAGCUGAGAUGAGAGACAGAGAAAAGAGAGAGCAUCCCUCAGAGUGAGCAGAAGAUACCAGUAGGAGAAAAGUGCAUGUUAGCCCAGGCAGCUCUGACUAUAACUUGACUUUUCUUAAUUUUUUUAAAUUGCAUUAAAAUGUACAUAACAUGGAAUUUGCCAUUUUGACCAUUUUGAAGUGUACAGCUCAGUAGCAGUGAGUGCAUUUACAUUGUUGUGCAACCAUCACCACCAUCCAUCCCCAGAACUCUUACAUCUUCCCAAACUGAAACUCUGCACUCUUUAUACAAUAACUCCCCAUGUCCCCCUCCCCUGACCACCACCAUUCUACUGUCUAUCUCUAUGAAUUUGACUAGUCUAGGAAUCUCAUAUAGGUGGACUCAUACAAUAUUUGUCCUUUUGUGUCUGGCUUCUGUCACUUAGCAUAAUGUCUUCAAGGUUCUUCCAUG